rnacentral:tRNA from 1 species
GUUCUUGUAGUUGAAUUACAACGGUGGUUUUUCAUGCCAUUAGUCUUGGUUAAACUCCGAGCAGGAAUU